GUCAGAACGAACGCUGGCGGCGCGUCUUAAGCAUGCAAGUCGAACGGCAAGAGGUAGCAAUACCUCCUAGAGUGGCGGACUGGUGAGUAACACGUGGGUGACAUACCCUUCAGAUGGGGAUAGCUAUUAGAAAUAGUAGAUAAUACCGAAUACGAGCACAGGGGUUAGAGAUCUGUGAGGAAAGGAGCUAAGGCUCCGCUGAAGGAAUGGCCUGCGGCCCAUUAGCUAGUUGGUGAGGUAAGAGCCCACCAAGGCGAUGAUGGGUAUCCGGCCUUAGAGGGUGAACGGACACAUUGGGACUGAGAUACGGCCCAGACUCCUACGGGAGGCAGCAGCUAAGAAUAUUCCGCAAUGGACGAAAGUCUGACGGAGCGACGCCGCGUGGAUGAAGAAGGCCGGAAGGUUGUAAAAAUCCUUUUGAACCUGAAGAAUAAGCGUUGUAGGGAAUGACAGCGUGGUGACAGUAGGUUUUGAAUAAGCAACGGCUAAUUACGUGCCAGCCGCCGC
rnacentral:rRNA from 1 species